rnacentral:tRNA from 1 species
GAAAUAUGUUAUACAAGUGUAAGCCGCUAACUUAUAACUUUAGCGGUUAAAUUCCGUUUAUAUUUCU